rnacentral:rRNA from 1 species
CGGUUUGUCGCGUCUGUCGUGAAAGUCGGGGCUUAACCCCGGAUCUGCGGUGGGUACGGGCAGACUAGGGUGCAGUAGGGGAGACUGGAAUUCCUGGUGUAGCGGUGGAAUGCGCAGAUAUCAGGAGGAACACCGAUGGCGAAGGCAGGUCUCUGGGCUGUAACUGACGCUGAGGAGCGAAAGCAUGGGGAGCGAACAGGAUUAGAUACCCUGGUAGUCCAUGCCGUAAACGUUGGGCACUAGGUGUGGGGACCAUUCCACGGUUUCCGCGCCGCAGCUAACGCAUUAAGUGCCCCGCCUGGGGAGUACGGCCGCAAGGCUAAAACUCAAAGGAAUUGACGGGGGCCCGCACAAGCGGCGGAGCAUGCGGAUUAAUUCGAUGCAACGCGAAGAACCUUACCAAGGCUUGACAUGUUCUCGAUUGCCGUAGAGAUACGGUUUCCCCUUUGGGGCGGGUUCACAGGUGGUGCAUGGUUGUCGUCAGCUCGUGUCGUGAGAUGUUGGGUUAAGUCCCGCAACGAGCGCAACCCUCGUUCCAUGUUGCCAGCACGUAAUGGUGGGGACUCAUGGGAGACUGCCGGGGUCAACUCGGAGGAAGGUGAGGACGACGUCAAAUCAUCGUGCCCCUUAUGUCUUGGGCUUCACGCAUGCUACAAUGGCCGGUACAAUGGGUUGCGAUACUGUGAGGUGGAGCUAAUCCCAAAAAGCCGGUCUCAGUUCGGAUUGGGGUCUGCAACUCGACCCAUGAAGUCGGAGUCGCUAGUAAU